UUGCUUCUCUUGAGAGCGGCGGACGGGUGAGUAAUGCCUAGGAAUCUGCCUGGUAGUGGGGGAUAACGCUCGGAAACGGACGCUAAUACCGCAUACGUCCUACGGGAGAAAGCAGGGGACCUUAGGGCCUUGCGCUAUCAGAUGAGCCUAGGUCGGAUUAGCUAGUUGGUGAGGUAAUGGCUCACCAAGGCGACGAUCCGUAACUGGUCUGAGAGGAUGAUCAGUCACACUGGAACUGAGACACGGUCCAGACUCCUACGGGAGGCAGCAGUGGGGAAUAUUGGACAAUGGGCGAAAGCCUGAUCCAGCCAUGCCGCGUGUGUGAAGAAGGUCUUCGGAUUGUAAAGCACUUUAAGUUGGGAGGAAGGGCAGUAACCUAAUACGUUAUUGUUUUGACGUUACCGACAGAAUAAGCACCGGCUAACUCUGUGCCAGCAGCCGCGGUAAUACAGAGGGUGCAAGCGUUAAUCGGAAUUACUGGGCGUAAAGCGCGCGUAGGUGGUUUGUUAAGUUGAAUGUGAAAUCCCCGGGCUCAACCUGGGAACUGCAUCCAAAACUGGCAAGCUAGAGUAGGGCAGAGGGUGGUGGAAUUUCCUGUGUAGCGGUGAAAUGCGUAGAUAUAGGAAGGAACACCAGUGGCGAAGGCGACCACCUGGGCUCAUACUGACACUGAGGUGCG
rnacentral:rRNA from 1 species